UACGUAGGGUGCAAGCGUUGUCCGGAUUUAUUGGGCGUAAAGAGCUCGUAGGCGGUUUGUCGCGUCGAAUGUGAAAGCCCGGGGCUCAACUCCGGGUCUGCAUUCGAUACGGGCAGACUAGAGUUCGGUAGGGGAGACUGGAAUUCCUGGUGUAGCGGUGAAAUGCGCAGAUAUCAGGAGGAACACCGGUGGCGAAGGCGGGUCUCUGGGCCGAUACUGACGCUGAGGAGCGAAAGCGUGGGGAGCGAACAGG
rnacentral:rRNA from 1 species